AUCGCUUCAGCGGCCCUUUUGGCUGCUAAGAUCAAGUGUAGUUAUCUGUUCUUAUCAGUUUAAUAUUCUGAUUACGUCCCCCAUCGGGGGGACUACUAAUAUUAAAUGGCAUUUUUUUCGAAACAGGGAGUCGGCAGCGGGCUUGCUCCGUCCGCUCCACGCAUCGACUCGUUAUUCCUGCGUACCUCCGAAGAACGGUAGUGCACCCCUC
rnacentral:snRNA from 1 species